rfam:Rattus norvegicus chromosome 15, whole genome shotgun sequence.
GGUGAAAUGGCUCAGUGGUUAAGAGCACUGGCUGCUCUUCCAGAGGUCCUGGAUUCAAUUUCCAGCAACCCCA